UCACGCGGACGUCUGCACACAUGACACCUGCCACUGAACAGAUGAGACUGGCAGCAGUGUAUUAGUACAUCUGUUUGCAGGCUGGGAGAGGAAGACGCUGCACGCCAGGCAGGGCUUGUGCUUGGAGCAGCAUGAAAAAACCAGGGGCGAAGACAGGGAGGCUUUGCAGCGUGAAGACGAUGAGAUCUCCAGAAUUUAUCUACUAGUUGCAACUUUGUGCUCUUAAACAUCCUCCCUGUUCUGCCCUGAACCUCGAACCCCACAAUGCAGCCCCAGGAGGUUAUAAGAAGAGCUGGAACUGCAAAGCGAAACAUCUAUCAAACCCAACUUGCCUUAUUUUGAUACAACCGUUGGUCACGAUACUUCAUGAGAAAAUGGAACAUCUGGGUGAAUGCAAAAGUUGACAAGACCUGAGAACAGCGGAGAUAAACUGGUCCCGACCUGGCAAACCAGAUCAUAUGGUCACCCUACCACCUCCGCCUCAGCCUGCAUCUUUUCUCUCUCUGUAAACGUCUUCUUGGCCUCUUAAGAUCCAGUUUACACUUUGGCAUCAAAGGAAAUUCAACUCCUUGCUUGAUUUCUACAAGACAAAAACUUAUGUGGAAGAUGUUUUUGGAUGUUGGAUGUUGAAAGAGGAGCCGACGACUUAUGUCCCGAAUGACUGAAAUGGAACAUUUUGCAUCUUUGUUUCUCAAAUUCUUUGGGUUUCUCUUUCAUGCUCUUGAAAAUUCUUGCCCUGCUGUCACCUCCUUCACAGGACUCCCUUCCUUCCAUCCAAUUUAUACCAUUUUUGGUGUGAUUAUCACUCAUUAGAUCUGUACUCAGAGUCAGCUCCAGGAGUGCCUGUGAGCUGAGAUAUAGCUUGAAAUUAGGACUCUUAAGGAAGUACCAAAUUAAAUACUGUUUUCUUUCU